rnacentral:ribozyme from 1 species
UUUUUUUUUUUUUUUUUUUUUUUUUUUUUUUUUUUUUUUUUAGACGGGCACUGUUGA